AGUGAACGCUGGCGGUAGGCCUAACACAUGCAAGUCGAACGGCAGCACAGUAAGAGCUUGCUCUUACGGGUGGCGAGUGGCGGACGGGUGAGGAAUACAUCGGAAUCUACUUUUUCGUGGGGGAUAACGUAGGGAAACUUACGCUAAUACCGCAUACGACCUACGGGUGAAAGCAGGGGAUCUUCGGACCUUGCGCGAUUGAAUGAGCCGAUGUCGGAUUAGCUAGUUGGCGGGGUAAAGGCCCACCAAGGCGACGAUCCGUAGCUGGUCUGAGAGGAUGAGCGGCCACACUGGAAAAGAGAGAAGGACCAGAGCACUACGGAAGGAAGCAGUGGGGAAGAUUGGAGAAUGGGCGCAAGCCUGAGCAAGCCAUGGAGCGGGGGGGAAGAAGGCAUUCGGGUUGUAAAGGCCUUUUGUUGGGAAAGAAAAGCAGCAGGCGAAUAACGCGAUGCUCUGACGGUAGCUAAAGAAUAAGCAACGGCUAACUUAGUG
rnacentral:rRNA from 1 species